rnacentral:rRNA from 1 species
GUGGAUUAGAUACCCUGGUAGUCCACGCCGUAAACGAUGAGUGCUAGGUGUUAGGGGUUUCGAUACCCUUGGUGCCGAAGUUAACACAGUAAGCACUCCGCCUGGGGAGUACGGUCGCAAGACUGAAACUCAAAGGAAUUGACGGGGACCCGCACAAGCAGUGGAGUAUGUGGUUUAAUUCGAAGCAACGCGAAGAACCUUACCAGGUCUUGACAUCCAACUAACGAAGCAGAGAUGCGUUAGGUGCCCUUCGGGGAAAGUUGAGACAGGUGGUGCACGGCCGUCGUCAACU